GAUGAACGCUAGCGGGAGGCCUAACACAUGCAAGUCGAGCGGGAAUUGCUGGCUAGCUUGCUAACCAACAAUGAGAGCGGCGUACGGGUGAGUAGCAUGUGUGCCACCUGCCUUUAUCUUGGGGUCAGCCUAUUGAAAGGAAGAUUAAUACCCCAUAACAUAUUGAUUGGCAUCAGUUAAUAUUUAAAGCUCUGGCGGAUAGAGAUGGGCACGCGUAAGAUUAGCUAGUUGGUGAGGUAACGGCACACCAAGGCUGCGAUCUUUAGGGGGCCUGAGAGUGGGAUCCCCCACACUGGGACUGGGACACGGACCAGACUCCUACGGGAGGCAGCAGUGAGGAAUACUGGACAAUGGGAGAGAGCCUGAUCCAGCCAUCCCGCGUGAAGGACUAAGGAGCUAUGGUUGGUAAACUUCUUUUAGACAGGGAUAAACCUACUCGCGGGAGGGUAGCUGAAGGUACUGGAUGAAGAAGCACCGGCUAACUCCGUG
rnacentral:rRNA from 1 species